rnacentral:rRNA from 1 species
UACAGAGGGUGCAAGCGUUGUUCGGAAUUAUUGGGCGUAAAGCGCGUGUAGGCGGCUUUGCAAGUCGGGUGUGAAAGCCCUCAGCUCAACUGAGGAAGUGCGCCCGAAACUGCAGAGCUUGAGUGCCGGAGAGGGUGGCGGAAUUCCCCAAGUAGAGGUGAAAUUCGUAGAUAUGGGGAGGAACACCAGUGGCGAAGGCAGCGAUCUGGGAAGAUACUGACGCUGAGGUGCGAAAGCGUGGGGAGCAAACAGG